GUUUUACCGCAAGCUUCUGUUGUACGAUAGCAAACGUGUUCAGCGACCAGCGUUACGAUGUCUACUGCGAAAUUCUCCGUCAUCCUAAUGCUCACACUCACAGUCACGUUAAUGAAUGUUUCUCGGAGUUGGGGGAAACCUCCGAAACGUGGAGGUCCAAUGAGAUCUCCUCCGGGACCACCCGCGUGCGAUGUCAGAAGGCAAUGUCAAACAAAUGUCCCACUUGCGUGCGGCAUGGGCUGUUACUGCG
rnacentral:lncRNA from 1 species